UGACCGAUCACCAGGAUUCUAUAAUAGAUUACAUACGAGGUCGAGGAUUCUUAUUCAUCAAUAAAACCGAUUAUCACUGCACUAAUACCAUCGGUGACCUCGAUGUGGUUUUCAAGGAUAGGAACCUGGCUGUUAUUGAACAAAGAGGAAUGAAUAAACAUCUCACUAGUUCAUAACAAUCGAUGACAACUGCCGUUAACAACGGUGGGCAUCGGUUUAAAUUAACUUUAUUGUAUUUAAUUCACAAUGUCGCAUCCCAUUUCCUCAGAUUUAUAAUACUUGGUAUAAAAUCACCGCUUCUGAGGUAACGGUGUGAUUACUAUAAUUUUUUUUAAUCAUUCAAAUCUUUUAGAAUCAAACAAGAAUAUUUGACCUCCUUCAGUUGCAUAAGCGACUCGAUUUUUGUCCUCAAAAAACAUUAUAUUAUUACAUUAUUAUAUAAAUUAAUUUGUAGACCGAUGAACAAAAUUUAUAAAAAUAAAGUGAAAAAUUGAAAGAAAAAUAAAAAAUUGCCAUCAAUCUUUCUUCAUUUACGUUUCAGUUUAACAUAUUUCUUGUGCUACGGGGAUGCUUUACCUUUGAGAAACAGGAUUCUCCGUAGGGUCAAAUCUCCACCUGUGGACCAUUGGCACAAGUGUAUCACGACUGCCGGCACAGAUCUGUUGAAAUAAAUGGAGAAAUAAUAAAGGAACUAAAUUCUAUCGAGUACUGAGCAACAAAAUCACUUACCAUGUGACAGCGUUCAUUCUCUAGCCACUGAGUAUCAAGGCUAGUAACAGAUUUCUUGUACGUUUUGAUUGUUUUAUACCCGUUUCGAAGACUGUGAAUAGUAACAGAGCAGCCAGUGUCCGCAGUGAUGACGUACCGGCCAUCUUGAGUCAAAGCUGCGCAAGUAUAUGUCACCGUUUCAUCGGCAAGUUUGGCAAAUUCGUUAUAUGUAGGAUAGCCUGUGAUUUCGUCAAGUUUCCAGGUGACGGAGAAUAAUUUUUUAUCCAACAAACCAAUCAUAAUAUUGGCAACCCCCGGAACAGAGAGGAGUGAUAUCACUUUUACCAUCUCAGAGGAGAGGGCACAUUGCGUCACGUAAUUGCCGUGCGUAGCGUCAUACAUAGUAAAAGCUCCUGUUUCUAGGUUUACGGUAUGAAGUUUCGUACUGGAUAUCGUGAACAGAAUGCAGUUUAACGUUGAAUUGCUGAACUGCAUAAAAUGCAGCAACAGACUUGUUCCAUUUGAACAAAAAAAAAAAAUAAAAAAUACACAGCAUCAUUCAUUUCUAGUUUUUUCAUUAAAACUAAAA
rnacentral:lncRNA from 1 species